rnacentral:rRNA from 1 species
UACGGAGGGGGCGAGCGUUAUUCGGAAUUAUUGGGCGUAAAGGGCGCGUAGGCGGCUGUACAAGUCAAAGGUGAAAUCCCUCGGCUCAACUGAGGAACUGCCUUUGAAACUGUACGGCUUGAGGCCGGGAGGGGGUAGCGGAAUUCCCAAUGUAGCGGUGAAAUGCGUAGAUAUUGGGAGGAACACCAGUGGCGAAGGCGCUACCUGGACCGGUUCUGACGCUGAUGCGCGAAAGCGUGGGUAGCAAACAGG